AAAGUACUCCCUCCGUCCCAAAAUUCUUGUCUUAGAUUUGUCUAGAUAUGGAUGUAUCAAGUCACAUUUUAGUAUUAGAUACAUCUGUAUCUAGACAAAUCUAAGACAAGAAAUUUGGGACAGAUGGAGUAGUUG
rnacentral:pre_miRNA from 1 species